rnacentral:rRNA from 1 species
GACGGGGGGUCCUAGCGUUGUUCGGAAUCAUUGGGCGUAAAGCGUGUGCAGGCGGCUUUGUAAGUCAGAUGUGAAAGCCCCGGGCUUAACCCGGGAAGUGCAUUUGAAACUACAAAACUUGAAUAUGGAAGAGGGUCGUGGAAUUCCAGGUGUAGUGGUGAAAUACGUAGAUAUCUGGAGGAACACCGGUGGCGAAGGCGGCGACCUGGUCCAAUAUUGACGCUCAUACACGAAAGUGCGGGGAUCAAACAGG